rnacentral:rRNA from 1 species
AGAGUUUGAUCAUGGCUCAGAUUGAACGCUGGCGGCAGGCUUAACACAUGCAUGUCGAGCGGUAACAGAAAUAGCUUGCUAUUUGCUGACGAGCGGCGGACGGGUGAGUAAUGCUUGGGAAUAUGCCUUAUGGUGGGGGACAACAGUUGGAAACGACUGCUAAUACCGCAUAACGUCUACGGACCAAAGGGGGGGAUCCUCGGACCUCUCGCCAUUUGAUUAGCCCAAGUGAGAUUAGCUAGUUGGUAAGGUAAUGGCUUACCAAGGCGACGAUCUCUAGCUGGUUUGAGAGGAUGAUCAGCCACACUGGGACUGAGACACGGCCCAGACUCCUACGGGAGGCAGCAGUGGGGAAUAUUGCACAAUGGGGGAAACCCUGAUGCAGCCAUGCCGCGUGUGUGAAGAAGGCCUUCGGGUUGUAAAGCACUUUCAGUUGUGAGGAAAGGUGUGUAGUUAAUAGCUGCAUACUGUGACGUUAACAACAGAAGAAGCACCGGCUAACUUCGUGCCAGCAGCCGCGGUAAUACGAGGGGUGCAAGCGUUAAUCGGAAUUACUGGGCGUAAAGCGUUCGUAGGCGGUUGAAUAAGCAAGAUGUGAAAGCCCAGGGCUCAACCUUGGAACUGCAUUUUGAAAUGUUUGACUAGAGUACUGUAGAGGGA